UGCGCGCCGUGUCCCGCGGUCUUCAAAGCCGUUGAGGGGUCGUAAGUGCGGCCUCUGGUGGGUACGAUUCCCAUCCA
rnacentral:tRNA from 1 species